rnacentral:rRNA from 1 species
GGUUAAGCGACUAAGCGUACACGGUGGAUGCCCUGGCAGUCAGAGGCGAUGAAGGACGUGCUAAUCUGCGAUAAGCGUCGGUAAGGUGAUAUGAACCGUUAUAACCGGCGAUUUCCGAAUGGGGAAACCCAGUGUGAUUCGUCACACUAUCAUUAACUGAAUCCAUAGGUUAAUGAGGCGAACCGGGGGAACUGAAACAUCUAAGUACCCCGAGGAAAAGAAAUCAACCGAGAUUCCCCCAGUAGCGGCGAGCGAACGGGGAGGAGCCCAGAGCCUGAAUCAGUGUGUGUGUUAGUGGAAGCGUCUGGAAAGGCGCGCGAUACAGGGUGACAGCCCCGUACACAAAAAUGCACAUACUGUGAGCUCGAUGAGUAGGGCGGGACACGUGGUAUCCUGUCUGAAUAUGGGGGGACCAUCCUCCAAGGCUAAAUACUCCUGACUGACCGAUAGUGAACCAGUACCGUGAGGGAAAGGCGAAAAGAACCCCGGCGAGGGGAGUGAAAAAGAACCUGAAACCGUGUACGUACAAGCAGUGGGAGCCUCUUAAUGGGGUGACUGCGUACCUUUUGUAUAAUGGGUCAGCGACUUAUAUUCUGUAGCAAGGUUAACCGAAUAGGGGAGCCGAAGGGAAACCGAGUCUUAACUGGGCGUUAAGUUGCAGGGUAUAGACCCGAAACCCGGUGAUCUAGCCAUGGGCAGGUUGAAGGUUGGGUAACACUAACUGGAGGACCGAACCGACUAAUGUUGAAAAAUUAGCGGAUGACUUGUGGCUGGGGGUGAAAGGCCAAUCAAACCGGGAGAUAGCUGGUUCUCCCCGAAAGCUAUUUAGGUAGCGCCUCGUGAAUUCAUCUCCGGGGGUAGAGCACUGUUUCGGCAAGGGGGUCAUCCCGACUUACCAACCCGAUGCAAACUGCGAAUACCGGAGAAUGUUAUCACGGGAGACACACGGCGGGUGCUAACGUCCGUCGUGAAGAGGGAAACAACCCAGACCGCCAGCUAAGGUCCCAAAGUCAUGGUUAAGUGGGAAACGAUGUGGGAAGGCCCAGACAGCCAGGAUGUUGGCUUAGAAGCAGCCAUCAUUUAAAGAAAGCGUAAUAGCUCACUGGUCGAGUCGGCCUGCGCGGAAGAUGUAACGGGGCUAAACCAUGCACCGAAGCUGCGGCAGCGACACUAUGUGUUGUUGGGUAGGGGAGCGUUCUGUAAGCCUGUGAAGGUGUACUGUGAGGUAUGCUGGAGGUAUCAGAAGUGCGAAUGCUGACAUAAGUAACGAUAAAGCGGGUGAAAAGCCCGCUCGCCGGAAGACCAAGGGUUCCUGUCCAACGUUAAUCGGGGCAGGGUGAGUCGACCCCUAAGGCGAGGCCGAAAGGCGUAGUCGAUGGGAAACAGGUUAAUAUUCCUGUACUUGGUGUUACUGCGAAGGGGGGACGGAGAAGGCUAUGUUGGCCGGGCGACGGUUGUCCCGGUUUAAGCGUGUAGGCUGGUUUUCCAGGCAAAUCCGGAAAACUAAGGCUGAGGCGUGAUGACGAGGCACUACGGUGCUGAAGCAACAAAUGCCCUGCUUCCAGGAAAAGCCUCUAAGCAUCAGGUAACNNNNNNNNNNNNNNNNNNNNNNNNNNNNNNNNNNNNUGGAGCUGAAAUCAGUCGAAGAUACCAGCUGGCUGCAACUGUUUAUUAAAAACACAGCACUGUGCAAACACGAAAGUGGACGUAUACGGUGUGACGCCUGCCCGGUGCCGGAAGGUUAAUUGAUGGGGUUAGCGGUAACGCGAAGCUCUUGAUCGAAGCCCCGGUAAACGGCGGCCGUAACUAUAACGGUCCUAAGGUAGCGAAAUUCCUUGUCGGGUAAGUUCCGACCUGCACGAAUGGCGUAAUGAUGGCCAGGCUGUCUCCACCCGAGACUCAGUGAAAUUGAACUCGCUGUGAAGAUGCAGUGUACCCGCGGCAAGACGGAAAGACCCCGUGAACCUUUACUAUAGCUUGACACUGAACAUUGAGCCUUGAUGUGUAGGAUAGGUGGGAGGCUUUGAAGUGUGGACGCCAGUCUGCAUGGAGCCGGCCUUGAAAUACCACCCUUUAAUGUUUGAUGUUCUAACGUUGGCCCCUGAUCGGGGUUGCGGACAGUGUCUGGUGGGUAGUUUGACUGGGGCGGUCUCCUCCUAAAGAGUAACGGAGGAGCACGAAGGUUGGCUAAUCCUGGUCGGACAUCAGGAGGUUAGUGCAAUGGCAUAAGCCAGCUUGACUGCGAGCGUGACGGCGCGAGCAGGUGCGAAAGCAGGUCAUAGUGAUCCGGUGGUUCUGAAUGGAAGGGCCAUCGCUCAACGGAUAAAAGGUACUCCGGGGAUAACAGGCUGAUACCGCCCAAGAGUUCAUAUCGACGGCGGUGUUUGGCACCUCGAUGUCGGCUCAUCACAUCCUGGGGCUGAAGUAGGUCCCAAGGGUAUGGCUGUUCGCCAUUUAAAGUGGUACGCGAGCUGGGUUUAGAACGUCGUGAGACAGUUCGGUCCCUAUCUGCCGUGGGCGCUGGAGAACUGAGGGGGGCUGCUCCUAGUACGAGAGGACCGGAGUGGACGCAUCACUGGUGUUCGGGUUGUCAUGCCAAUGGCACUGCCCGGUAGCUAAAUGCGGAAGAGAUAAGUGCUGAAAGCAUCUAAGCACGAAACUUGCCCCGAGAUGAGUUCUCCCUGACUCCUNNNNNNNNNNNNNNNNNNNNNNNNNNNNNNNNNNNAAGGUGUUUUGGCGGAAGAGAGAAGAUUUUCAGCCUGAUACAGAUUAAAUUAACCGG